rnacentral:rRNA from 1 species
UGGGGAAUUUUGGACAAUGGGGGAAACCCUGAUCCAGCCAUCCCGCGUGUGCGAUGAAGGCCUUCGGGUUGUAAAGCACUUUUGGCAGGAAAGAAACGUCGCGGGUUAAUACCCCGCGAAACUGACGGUACCUGCAGAAUAAGCACCGGCUAACUACGUGCCAGCAGCCGCGGUAAUACGUAGGGUGCAAGCGUUAAUCGGAAUUACUGGGCGUAAAGCGUGCGCAGGCGGUUCGGAAAGAAAGAUGUGAAAUCCCAGAGCUUAACUUUGGAACUGCAUUUUUAAACUACCGGGCUAGAGUGUGUCAGAGGGAGGUGGAAUUCCGCGUGUAGCAGUGAAAUGCGUAGAUAUGCGGAGGAACACCGAUGGCGAAGGCAGCCUCCUGGGAUAACACUGACGCUCAUGCACGAAAGCGUGGGGAGCAAACAGGAUUAGAUACCCUGGUAGUCCACGCCCUAAACGAUGUCAACUAGCUGUUGGGGCCUUCGGGCCUUGGUAGCGCAGCUAACGCGUGAAGUUGACCGCCUGGGGAGU